GCUUGUUGCUGUGCUUUCAAUGUGGCCGAUCGUGAGUGUUUGCGACGGUUAGCGUCUGGUAUCGGUGCUCACCGGGUGAACAUUCAUUAUCGGCCCAUUGGCUUUGCUGGCUAAUAGCUG
rnacentral:precursor_RNA from 9 species